ACCUGCGCAAUGGGACGAAUCAAUCUUCUUCAGUCCUUUCCACCUAGCCUCCAAGUUCAUUCCUUCACACACCACGUCGGUACUCUGCCUCUGGUAGGACAGACGGUGAUGUCCCUUCUAACGCUUAGCGUGUGUGCCUGGGCUAGCCCUGAAACAAGAAAGGGCGUCUAAUCAUGGCUGAUUAGUGGCACCGAUCUUUGGAUGGUCCAUGUGGAAAAAGUGAUACGUUGCCGAAAAGCGCUGUGAUCAAACUGGCCCGGAUGGCAUUUCCAUAAAUAUGACUCGUUGUACAGUCCGCUAUCGGUCUCGAGACUUACGAAAAGGACAGUUGGAUUUUCCUCAUAUGCUUGAAUGGAGUGGUGAUUGGUGAGCAAGACGCACCUGACGGACAGGAAAGAAGUGAUAGAUCAUGCUAAAUAUUCACAGAAAAGGAAAUGAGCAGAAUGAUAUCAGAAAUUUUAGAGCAACUAAACCGCUUAGCAGGGGUUGUGUCCAGGAAAGAGCAUUCAAUAAUGAGGAACAGGAUAGGCAUCAACCAACUUUUCUCUCACCAACCUGGGUGGUUGGCUUGAGUCUGGAUGAAUCCAACAGCUAUAUUCCCAGCCUAC
rnacentral:sRNA from 1 species